UCCGAUAUGGUGUAGUGGCCAACAUGAUGCCCUCUCACAACGAGAGGUUAGGCAUAGCCCCGAGUUCGAUUCUCGGUUUCGGAA
rnacentral:tRNA from 1 species